UGCUAGGAUGUUUGGUGCCAGGA
rnacentral:piRNA from 1 species